UACAGAGGGUGCGAGCGUUUAAUCGGAAUUACUGGGCGUAAAGCGCGCGUAGGCGGCUUUGCAAGUCGGGUGUGAAAUCCCCAGGCUUGAACCUGGGAACUGCAUUCGAGACUGCAAUUGGCUAGAGUAGUGGGAGAGGGAAGUGGAAUUUCCGGUGUAGCGGUGAAAUGCGUAGAUAUCGGAAGGAACAUCAGUGGCGAAAGCGACUUCCGUGGACCAAUACUGACGCUCCAUGUGCGAAAGCGUGGGGAGCAAACAGGG
rnacentral:rRNA from 1 species